AUGGGUGAUAGUAAUACAAGAUACUUCCAAUUGAUCGCUAAUGGGCGGCAUAGGAAGAAAUGUAUUUAUAGUCUCCAACAAGAUGAGGGGCGGAUCGAAGGUCAAGAGGAGCUCAAAAAGUAUAUCACCGACUACUACAAAUCUCUGUUCGGAGCACCGGCUGAAGGGAAUUUCACCCUUGACGAGACCCGAACAGAUGACAUUCCACAAGUCACGACAGAAGAAAACGAUAUCUUGACAGCACCAUUCUCGGAAGAGGAGGUGAGAGCUGCAGUGUUCCAAAUGGAACACAACAAAGCUCCAGGCCCAGAUGGUUUCCCCGCAGAAUUCUAUCAGAAUUUCUGGGAUAUCAUCAAGGCUGACCUUAUGGAGUUGUUCAAUUGUCUUCAUGCCGACCGACUUGAGCUAUUUAGGCUUAUUUUGGCGAGAUUGUCUUGUUGCCAAAGAUUAAGGAGGCUGAACGGAUCCAGCAGUUCAGACCCAUAUGCCUCCUUAAUGUCAGUUUCAAGAUUUUCACCAAAGUGA
rnacentral:rRNA from 1 species